CUUCUAUUGCUCUUGCCUUUCGGCACUUUUGGGGAGGCAGGGUGCGCAGGCGCAGUGGGGUGCUCUGAGGUGGGGGUAGCGGUCGCGUAUCAAGUUGCUCUCUGUCCCGGCAGAAGAAACCAGGGCGCUGAGGAUCCAGGUUCCAGCUUGCUCCCUCCUAUAUCAAUCGAAGGAGAAAAGUUUGUGAAUUGGGCCCCCCAAGUUUUGGGGGACCCGGACUUGCGGCGUGGGGUGACAGACGAGGCUCGUUAGAGCUUCCCCCAUGGAGCCCACCCAGCCGGCAGAGGACCUCAGUCUGACCCAACAGCUCCCCAUCCCAGAAUUUGGGGACCCUGAGGACCCCAGCGAUGAGGCCCCCGAUGGCUCAGACACUGUGGUGCUCAGUCUCUUCCCCUGCACUCUGGAGCCUGGGAAUCCUGAACCGGAUGCUGGUGCCUCCUCACCGCAGGGAGGCAGCUCCCUGAAGCACUCCACAACCCUCACCAACCGGCAGCGGGGGAACGAGGUUUCGGCCCUGCCAGCCACCCUCGACUCCCUGUCCAUCCACCAGCUCGCGGCCCAGGGGGAGCUGAGCCAGCUGAAGGAACAUCUGAGGAAAGGCGACAACCUCAUCAACAAGCCGGACGAGCAUGGCUUCACCCCCCUCAUCUGGGCCUCCGCCUUUGGAGAAAUCGAGACUGUCCGCUUCUUGCUCGAGUGGGGUGCUGACCCCCACAUCCUGGCCAAGGAACGGGAAAGCGCCCUGUCCCUGGCCAGCAUGGGCGGCUACACAGACAUUGUAGGGCUGCUACUUGAGCGUGACGUGGACAUCAACAUCUACGACUGGAAUGGAGGGACGCCACUGCUGUACGCCGUGCGUGGGAACCACGUGAAGUGCGUAGAAGCCUUGUUGGCCCGAGGAGCCGAUCUCACCACUGAGGCUGACUCCGGCUAUACCCCAAUGGACCUUGCUGUGGCCCUGGGAUAUCGGAAAGCUUCCCCAUCCACAAAAUGGGGAGAUCCUAAUAGAACUGACCCCUUGGGGUCAUGGAGAGAUUGAGAGCCUGGGAGAUUUCUCCUUCCUUCAAGUUUUAUUCCAUUUGGGACAGAAGUCAUUCCUCACAGCCCCUCUUAUCCUUUCAUAAAAGUCACCAGUCGAGAAUUUUGUUUGUGCAACAGGUGAUCGAGAACCACAUCCUCAAACUCUUCCAGAGCAACCUGGUGCCCGCAGAUCCUGAGUGAAGGCUGCCUGCUGGGGACUCAGAUACUCAGGGAACAAAACAGUUGACGCAGAGCUGGGGGAACCCAGAACUGGCUUCAAAGGCAGCUCCUGGACAGACAGUGGGAGGGGAUCCUUCCCAAGAGGAACCAAUAAACCUUCUGUGCAUAA